rnacentral:tRNA from 1 species
UCGGGAAUGGUGUAGCGGUAACACAACAGACUUUGACUCUGUCGUCCUAGGUUCGAUCCCUAGUUCCCGUGCCA